UUUUUUUUCUUUCCUUUUUAUUCUCUGUUGGUUGGUUUUGCUUGCUCCUUCCCUCUUCCUUUCACCUUUGUUAACUCACGAAGUCCAUUUCUGUUGUCAACAACAGUGAUAAUGAAUCCCCGAGGGUGCCUUGUGUUGAGUACCUGAAGAUCUAUACCCAGAGGGAUCCACUGCAUGCUUUAUCCACUGAGGGAAUCCCAGCCACAACUGAAGGACUGUGCUAAAUUUUCCUUCCGAGAGGCUCAAGCCUCCCGUCCCAGCAGGAACAAGGCGCUGUGAGCACACAAUAUGAAGAUUCCAGGAGGCAGGCAGGUAGCAUGGAAAUACAAGCCCAGCAUUUGCCCCUGUUUUUGGGGGGAACUACAUUGACACCAUAACCUAAGAACACUCACUAGCCUAUCUCUAAUACUUCGAUCAUAAACAAGUUCUAUUUUGAGAGUAGCUAAUACACAGUGUAUGUAUUUAGACUAUCCACUGUCACAUUUUUUAGAGCUAUGUUUUAUCUUGCACAUUUGGAUGAUCAUUCUCGAACUCGUAAACUGCUAUUAUGUACAGUGAUUGUUGACAAUACCACGUGUCAACAAUCCCAUUUAAUAUGCACAAGAAGAAACUAAUUGUAAGCAGGGGGAAACACGUCUAAGCUAUAGCUAGUUAUGUAACAUAAGCUGGCGUCUUUUAUUCUAGAGCAGUGGUUCUCAAACCUUCCUAAUGCUGCGAACCUUUAUACAGUUCCUCAUGCUGUGGUGACUCCCCAACCAUAAAAUUAUUUUGUUGCUACUUCAUAGCUGUAAUUCUGGCUACUGUUAUGGAUUUUAAUGUAAAAUAUAUGAUAUGCAGCAUAUCUGAUAUGCGACCCCUGUGAAAGGGUUCUUGGAUCCCCCAAGUUGGGAACGGCUCUUCUGGUUAGUGCCAACAUCUCUCAGUGUAGAACAACUGCAGAUCACCCCACAGCCUGUACUAGAGCAUCAGUAGUCACAUCUGCAAUGUCACAGACGAUUCUCCUUUAAAGGAAUGAACCGGCACCUGAGGCUGCUCUCCUGUUUGCAGUCACUGGGAGAAAGAAUGUGAAUGGUCUCUGCUACCUCUGAAAGGGCAAAGCUCUCCGACACAGCCAGUGAAGCCCAUUGUGAGCACUCAGUGUUUCCCCAGUGUCACUUAAGUCAUUUAGCGCUCACAUCUCAAGGUGAGUUCCCCUGAGUCAGCUGUGCUCUCUCAGGAGUCCCCACCAACCAGGCAGGAAGGAAGGGCACUUGAAAUCAAGGUCGGUAAGAAGUGACUGUUUUCUGAAAGGCUUAAUUCUUCACAGGCUUUCAGAAGGAAGCCAGGAGAGCACGCUCACCUCACCUGAAGCAGAGCUGUUGCGUUUGCUUUUAAACGUUUUACUGUGCGUGUUCAUGAGAAAAGUAUGUAAAUUCCAACCAUCGAUAUUCCCAGAAACACUGGCCCCUGAUGGUCUUAUGUCCCAUAUCACUGGACUCUGGGGAACACAGAGAUUUUUGUUAACACUUCAAAGCUGCUGGCGGAGUCAACAAGUAUUCUGGGAAAAUACCAAGUUGAAAUUCUUCUCUUGACUUCCUACCAGAGUUGGCUUCCAGCCACAAAGCAGACCAGCAAAUUCCCAUAAGAUCCAAACAGCAGGCAAAAGUGCUGAAUGACCAGACACCGCAUCUCACCCCGUGAGCUUCCAUUCCUCGAGGCAGGAGCACUGAUGUGCAGUUGUUUCCUCGACAAAGUCACUUUCUAAAAUGUUUAAAGUGUGUGGUCCAUACGAUGUGUGCACACUAAUCCACCACUUGGCUCUCAGAAGUCAAAGAGCCACUCAGAGGCGAUUGAAUGGAGAGAAUUUUAAUCUUAACAUUGUCAAAUCUGGAGCUAGGGGUGUGUUUGGGCACACAGAUGCAGGUUCCUGGGUCCCAUCACCCAGACCACUGUGAGGACAGAAAAUUCUGCCAGACAGGUUUCAGAUUACUGAUUUGGUCAGAAGAUUGGCAGCUAACUCAGUAUAAUUGGGGGUCUUUGUUUAUCUCUUUCUUGAUCUGUUUAUCUACAUCCGGUGUAGUUUACCACUGCCGAAAUGAUAGUUUAGAGUCCCUAAGCACAGCCCACCAAGACCUGCUGUUCAAUCUCCCUCCUUCCUGCCUCUGCCAAUGGGAGCACUCAGAAAUGUUCAAAGCACUCUGCAGAGAUCUGAUCUCAUGGAUCCAAAAGAAAGGUCCCUGGUAUAUGCAUGAGAAACAGUUUAAAGUCAAAGGACAGUAGCUGGCCCUGCAUGAAAAAGAAAUGUGCCUCGUAGGAAGAAACAGAAAGUGUUCUUGGAAGUUGACAUCAAAGAGUACAGUGCUGGGUUCUUCUUGAUGGGGGAAUGACAUUUUGACACACUGGACAACCCUGAAUGAAGACCUGCAGUCCCUAUCAGGAUGUCAGUUAGGGACAGAAGCUGGGGCGGCCAUUCACACAGUUUCAAAGCUUCCGAGGACUAGAGUGUGGGCAGAAGGUAGGAAGGACAAUUAGCUUAUUGAUAGUCGUAAAAUAUGUGAGUGUUUUACAUAAACUAUAAUGAGAAUACUGAGUUUACAAAAACUUUAGCCCGGCAUCAGCUGAGUAUCUUUCCUACAAUACCCUUUUGAUUGGUUGUCCAGGUAAAGGAGGUAGCAUUUUUGUGCCCAUUUUAUGGAUUGUUGAUGGGGUUCCGAGGCACAAAGGCUGGAGACCUUGCCCUAGGUUGUACACUGUGAGCUAGCAUUCUGUUAACAACUCAGUGUGUGCUCUGCCUUCCUAACCAGCCACACUGCUUUUACUCCUGGGAUUUACCGGGAGAGGGAAGGUGGUUUGCUACUUAAUGGAACACCUGAAAUUCAGAAUGUUUAAUAACGACCUGUCAAAUAGGAAGUUAAAAAGGGGAAAUAAAACUGAAGAGCUUGCCCCCUC
rnacentral:lncRNA from 1 species